AUUGAACGCUGGCGGCAUGCUUUACACAUGCAAGUCGAACGGUAACAGGCCUUCGGGUGCUGACGAGUGGCGAACGGGUGAGUAAUGCAUCGGAACGUACCCAGAGGUGGGGGAUAACGCAGCGAAAGCUGUGCUAAUACCGCAUGUGAUCUGAGGAUGAAAGCGGGGGACCGAGCAGCAAUGUUUGGCCUCGCGCCUUUGGAGCGGCCGAUGUCGGAUUAGCUAGUUGGUGGGGUAAAGGCCUACCAAGGCGACGAUCCGUAGCUGGUCUGAGAGGACGACAAGCCACACUGGGACUGAGACACGGCCCAGACUCCUACGGGAGGCAGCAGUGGGGAAUUUUGGACAAUGGGCGCAAGCCUGAUCCAGCAAUGCCGCGUGCGGGAAGAAGGCCUUCGGGUUGUAAACCGCUUUUGGCAGGAACGAAACGGUGUCCGCUAAUACCGGGCGCUAAUGACGGUACCUGCAGAAUAAGCACCGGCUAACUACGUG
rnacentral:rRNA from 1 species